rnacentral:rRNA from 1 species
UACAGAGGGGGCGAGCGUUAUUCGGAAUUAUUGGGCGUAAAGGGCGCGUAGGCGGCCUUUCAAGUGACGGGUGAAAUCCCUCGGCUUAACCGAGGAACUGCCUGUCAGACUGGAAGGCUUGAGACCGGGAGAGGUGAGUGGAAUUCCCAGUGUAGCGGUGAAAUGCGUAGAUAUCGGGAGGAACACCGGUGGCGAAGGCGGCGACCUGGGUCGAGACUGACGCUGAGGCGCGAAAGCGUGGGGAGCAAACAGG